GCCUUAAUAUUCCAGAACACUGUGCGCGAAAUGAGAGAAAUGCGCAGGCAUUGUGAAAGAAAAACCGACAGGAAGAAAAGCGGCCCGUUUGGCGCACAGAUAUGCAGACAGAUACAGCGUGUUCGUGUGAUGGAGGCGCAGUAAUAUUCACUCAAACGCCAGGGCAGGUUUGCCAUCAUUGAUUUUCCUUUCAUCCUGAAAAGGGCCUGAGUUUAGAUGAAACACACCAUGCUCCUGUUCUUUUAGAAGACUCAGGUAAACUUACUUUUGCUCUGAUGCAGCCGUAUGGUCUCUAGUCAAGUCUUCUUCUUCUUCUUCUGUUUUGUUGUCUUUUGUUUGUUAAAUCAACUUCAGUUCCUGGGCAGGGUGGAUGAUGGAGGGAUGGAAGUGGCUGUUUAGAUUUAGAGCUAUGAUACACAAAUUACAAAGAACUAGGUACAAAGGACACUUGCUCGUCCCUUAGCUAUGAUGUAAAAUUAAGUGUAAACGACACUAAAAACAUUCAGCAGUUAAGGGCAAGUUACUUGUGAAUACACUGGACUCGUUUCCACAGAUUUUGUCAAACCGGAGAAGGGCUUUCUUGUAAACAGAAAUGCUUUGUGACUGCUGAAGUUUAUAGACUAUGGUUAGUGUGACUCAAAGCACUUCAUUAUCUCAUUUUGCCUCCUGCUUUAUUGAAAUGACACACUUUCAGUAAUUAUCCAGGGCAUGGUUUGGCACAACUAAUAAUCCUCACGAGUGUGUCAUCAGUCAAAACAUGACAAACUGCAAUCUGAUGAAACUUCCUGGCAGUCCCAGAUCGAGCUGCUCGUAUUUACUCUCAGAGAGUUUUGAAAAGGUCGAUCAUUCGGUCUGAGCAGAAGACCAGCUGACGUGAAGCCAAGCGGGAAACUGUGUUUGUGACUGCACGGAAUUGAAGAGGAUUUCACAGUGUCACAUAAACUCGGGGCAAGUUGACUCCCUGUGAAAAACCAACCAGUUUCAGUUGAACCUGAGCCAGAUCUCGCAGACAAAGGGGAAAAGGCAGCGUUUAGGGUAUUACUGAAAGACAUCUACUGUAAUCCGGUGAUUAAAACACUAUUCACAGACACAGUCAUUCAAAGAAAAUACAUAUUCAUUUUAAAGGCAAAUAUUCAGUAUUCAGUUAAAUGAAAAGGUCACAAGUUGACAGAUUUAGAUUUGACUAUUUCUGUCUGAAUGUCUUUAGACUGGCAACGUGGUUGACAAAAAAAACUCUUGACACCAUGACAACAACUAUAAAAAAUGUGUUACAGAUUUAGGGUCAGCGCCACAGACUUUCAGCUCUAGGUGGUUUUAAGGGAAGCAACUAAGAGGGAAAGAGUCUUGAACAAGGUAAGAACAUUAUACAGCAUUGCUCAUACUCUGAGCUACGUGUGACAUUUUUAUUAUUAUUUAGUUUUUAUUUCAUUAUUUUAUUUUAGUAUUUUUUUGUAUGAAACACUACAUUGUCUUAGGUUAUAACGUAUAUUUUAUUAAGACGAUCGCACAGCAUUGCACAUACUCUCAGAUAAAUGAUUAUUAUUAUUAUUAUUAUUGUAUGUUUAAAAUUUUAUGGAAUUUCAACUGAGGGUGGUUUUAAUCAAAUAAGGAAAAACAUGAAUUUUAUAUAUAUAUAUAUAUAUAUAUAUAUAUAUAUAUAUAUAUAUAUAUAUUGUCUUAAGAUGACAAAUAUUUUAUUAAUAUGAAAAAGUGUACUUUGAGUUAAAAAGAGGUUAAUCAGGCAAAAAAACUGUAUUGACGUAACAGAACUGAAUAAACUAAAACAUGUAUUGUUGUAUGUUGAUGUAUGUUGAUCUCUGUAUUAGAGCGCAUUACAAAACAUUGACAGAUAUUGUAUUUUAUUUAUUUAUAAAGCUAUGAUUUUAUGCCAUUUUAUAAACAUUAAACAUAUCAAGGGAAAAAAUCUUUAUAGAAAUGACCCUGGAACCAGAAUUCAGUUCUAACCAAAUGAUCAAUGUGGGAUUGAAAAAGUAAAUAUAUAUGUUUUUGAUGUCCACCUAAAAAGUAUUAUUGUUUUAAGAAUCUCAGCACCUCUUUGGAUGUAAAUGCACUAUUCUUAAAGAAAACCAGUCUGACCUGUCGUGUGUUCGCCUCUAAACGAGUCUUACUGCCCAUCCCAUGCUCCUCAAGAUUCAAAUCAAUGCAGUUCAAAAGAAAAUGGGAUUGCUUCUUCAACUGUCAGUUUGCUGCAACAACUACGUGUCUUACAAAACAAACGUUUUUUUUUUCCUCAUUCAAACUGAGUCAUGGUAUAAAUUAAUUGAGUUUUUGGUACUUAACCCACCAUAUGACGGAUAUACAGAGUGGAGAAUUCACACUUAGUGGCCAGAACAGUGUAUAGAUAAACAUAUAGAUAAUAUAUAAUGCAUGCAUGCUGGGCCAAGACUUUGAGCUGAUGUGAGCGAACGGCAGCACGGGGAAGAUGUGAUUCCAGCUGGGGAAUGUGAAAACAAUUGAUAAGUAAUGAGGUAUAUGUUUAUUUAAAAUGUCUAUUAUUUGUAGUUUGGUUUUAAAAUGGAAAUGUGUGUCUGUAUUUAAUAUCUAGGUCUUGCGCUUUUGAUUUUUCCAAAAUAAAAUAAACCGUUUUUCCAAGAUGAUACUAGUUCAGUUUUCUGCUUAAAAGAAGUCAUUCAGUUCAACAUGUUACUCUUAAUACAACUUGUGAUGGAUAUCUGAAUAUUGUUGCUUAAAGUAUAUUUCUAUUCCUUGUGUGUGUGUGUGUGUGUGUGUGUGUGUGUGUGUGUGUGUGUGUGUGUGUGUGUGUAAUAACAACAUAUACUUUAA